ACUCAUUACCAGUUCACAGGAGUGCCCUGUGAGUGAGCUCUUGUUGUGCAACAUCAGGCAUGGCCUGAUGGAGUGGUUGGAGGGAGGUGCGUAUUGCAAGCCGGUGUGGAAAUCAGCAGAACUGAACAUAAAAUUGGGAAAAUGAGAAACCAAAAUUAACGGAUUUGCUCAUCCCUCGUGAUGCACGGGGCAGGCGUGGGGGAAGCCCGAGCUUCCCCCGACCCCAG